rnacentral:rRNA from 1 species
GACGAACGCUGGCGGCGUGCUUAACACAUGCAAGUCGAACGGAAAGGCCCUGCUUUUGUGGGGUGCUCGAGUGGCGAACGGGUGAGUAACACGUGAGUAACCUGCCCUUGACUUUGGGAUAACUUCAGGAAACUGGGGCUAAUACCGGAUAGGAGCUCCUGCUGCAUGGUGGGGGUUGGAAAGUUUCGGCGGUUGGGGAUGGACUCGCGGCUUAUCAGCUUGUUGGUGGGGUAGUGGCUUACCAAGGCUUUGACGGGUAGCCGGCCUGAGAGGGUGACCGGCCACAUUGGGACUGAGAUACGGCCCAGACUCCUACGGGAGGCAGCAGUGGGGAAUAUUGAACAAUGGGCGGAAGCCUGAUGAAGCAACGCCGCGUGCGGGAUGACGGCCUUCGGGUUGUAAACCGCUUUCGCCUGUGACGAAGCGUGAGUGACGGUAAUGGGUAAAGAAGCACCGGCUAACUACGUG